rnacentral:tRNA from 1 species
CCCUGGCUGGCUCAGUAGGUAGGGCAUGAGACUCUAGAUCCCAGGGUCAUGAGUUUGAGCCCCAUGCUAGGCC